UUUCUUGCCUUGUCUUCCCAGAAAGGAAAGAGAGAGAAAUGUUUUUAAAAGGCGCUUGAGGCGAGGAAGCUUGAUUGAGCGCAGAGGCCGUUCCUUGGUGGAGCGAAGAAGGAAAAAUUGUCGCGGAGACAAAGCAACGCCGCCUCGCCAAGGAACGCCCGAAGAAAAAGGAGAAGCAGAAGGCGGGAAAGCAAAAGAAAGGGGGUGAAAAGAGUAUGAGGAGGAGGAGGAGAAAAAUAAAAAGGAGGAGGGGAGGAAAAAAGAGAGAGAUCAGGAAGGAAAGAAGGGAAGGAGAAAAAGAAAGGAGAGGAAAGGAAUGUGAGGAGAAGGAGGAGGAGAGAAAGGAAAACAAGACCAGGAAGGAAGGAGAAGGGAAGACGAAGAUAGGAGUGUGAGGGAAAAGAAGAAGGAGAAAGAGGAAAAGAAAAGAAGAAAAAGAAAACAAAGCCAAGAACAAGCCACAAGACAAAGAUCCACCCAGAGGAAAAGUGUUUGUACCAGUAAAUAAAGAAUAACACUCUGAAAACAGAGAAAUUCCAGACAUGAAACAAUCAGGGACAGCUCACACCUGCAAAGAAAGGAUUCCCCCAGGCAGGAAUCAGCCAGGUCUUGAAUUCCUCUGUUUUCUGAGUGGUGGUCUUAAUUUGAUUUUAGAGUUUUAUUUUAAUACUGGUAGGCAGGUUUUGUUCAUUUUCAUGGUUUCUUCCUCAACCAGAGAAGUCAGCCAAAGCAGGGCACUUGAUGAACCAACCUGGACACAGCAUAUUGUUGGAGAACACAGAAAUGCUGGACCACUCUCACAACCACACAGAGAAGCCACUGAAAUCCACAAGAUGUGUGGACAAUUUCAACAGAAAGGAGGAAACCAUGAAAAUGAACAAAAUCUGGCUUCCAAACUCUAAAACUCUAAAACCAAGACAGUAAAUAAAGAACAACACUCAGAAAACAGGCGAAUUCCAGGCAUGAAUCAAUCAGGGCCUGUUAACACCCCCCAACAAGGAUUCCCCCAGGCAGGAAGCACCCAGACCUUGAAGCUGCCAAGCUAUUCAAUGCUAAUCAAGGUGGCCAAUUGAAACAUUCACACUUUCACACAAGAGUUCUUUCUCCCACCCUGAACUGUCCACAGAUAUACAAACCCCACUUGCCUAGUUUCCAACAGAGCUCACAACCUCUGAGGGUGCCUGCCGUAGAUGUGGGCGAAAAAUCAGGAGAGAAUGCUUCUGGAAUAUGGCCAUAAAACCCGGAAAACUCACAGCAACCCAAUAAUGUGGCCUAGUGGAUUAAAGCCUUGUGACUUGAAGGUUGGGUUGCUGAUCUGCAAGCCGCCAGGUUCGAAUCCCACCCGGGGAGAGCGCGGAUGAGCUCCCUUUAUCAGCUCCAGCUCCAUGCGGGGACACGAGAGAAACCUCCCACAAGGAUGAUAAAACAUCAAAGCAUCCGGCCGUCCCCGGGCAACGUCCUUGCAGACGGCCAAUUCUCUCACACCAGAAGCGACUUGCAGUUUCUCAAGCCGCUCCUGACACGAAAAAAAAAACUGGAUUAUACAGCAGUGUAAAAGAGGCAUUAGAGAGAGAAAGGGAGGAAGACAGUAAGAAAUCCAUUUUUUUUAUUAGCAAAACAAGACAGAUCCUUCCUCGAAUUAAAAACACAUUUUUAAGCAAUUGGGGUAGAAGCCAGAGAGUAACAUUGAACCGAAACGCGCGAUAGAAGUGGGAAAAGAAAGGCUCAGUUCCCUAACCUGUGAGGUUGAGGACCAGACGGCCGGGAAGAGACUCAAAACCCACGGCUCGGAUAGGAAGAAGGCUGCUUUUCCCUCGCCCUUCAGGAGCCAGCAGCCCACGCGUGUCUGUGUCGCGGAGGAGCGAAAAAUCCCGGAGGAAUCCCAAGUGUUCACACUCGACUCCUUCUACGUCUCUUCUUAUACCGGAGCAAACCUCCCCUUUCCCCGAUGUCUACCCCACCGUCCUGCUCGGGUCCCCACUCGCGACCUACCGAGCUUCGUGGCUGGCUUUGAGUCCCGUCGGCGGAGGAAAAGACCGGGAGGAGAAGGAGGAGGAGGAAGGAGAGAAGGAGGAGGAGGAGAGAGCGAAGAGGCUGGGUGGGCGAGCCUCCCUCCUCUCUUCUAUUGUCUCAAG
rnacentral:lncRNA from 1 species